rnacentral:rRNA from 1 species
CCUGGUUGAUCCAUCUAGUAGUCAUAUGCUUGUCUCAAAGAUUAAGCCAUGCAUGUCUAAGUAUGAACUAAUUCAGACUAUGAAACUGUGGAUGGCUCAUUAAAUUAGUUAUAUUUUUUUUUAUGGUACUAUACUACUAAAAUAACCAUAGUAAUUCUAGAGCUAAUACAUGCACCAAGUCCCGACUCUUUGGAAGGGAUGCAUUUUUUAGAUAAAAGGUCGGUGCAGGUUUGCCUACUUCUCCAGUAAAUCAUGAUAACUUGAGGGUUCACAUAACCCUUGUGAUGGUGAUGCUUCAUUCAAAUUUCUACCCUAUCAAUUUUCGAUGGCAGGAUAGAGGCCUACCAUGGUGGUCAUGGGUGAUGAAGAAUUAGGGUCCGAUUCUAGAGAGCAAGCCUAAUAAAUGACUACGACAUCCAAGGAAGGUAGCAAUCAUGCAAAUUACUCAAUGCUAACAGGGGGAGGUAAUGACAAUAAAUAACAAUACUGGGCUUAUCGAGUCUAGUAAUUGGAAUGAGUACAAUCUAAAUCUCUUAAAGAGGAUCCAUUGGAGGGAAAUUUUGGUGCUAUUAGCUAUGGUAAUUCCAGCUCCAAUAGCGUAUAUUUAAUUUGUUGUAGUUAAAAAGCUCGUAGUUGGAUCUUGGGUCAUAAAGGUCGGUUCGCGUACUCGGUGUGCACCUGCCCUUCCAUCCCUUUUGUCAGUGGUGUGCUCCUGGCCUUAAUUGGCUAGGUCACGGCUUCGACGCUAUUACUUUGAAAAAAUUAUAGUGCUCAAAGAAAGCUUAUGCUCUAAAUACAUUAUCAUGGAAUAACAUGAUAGGAGUUUGGUCCUAUUAUGUUGGCCUUCGGGACCAGAGUAAUGAUUAAUAGGGACUGUCAGGGGCAUUUGUAUUUCAUUGUCAGAGGUGAAAUUCUUGGAUUUAUGAAAUAUAGACCACCUCGAAAGUAUUUUCCAAGGAUGUUUUCAUUAAUCAAGAAUGAAAGUUGGGGGCUCGAAGAUGAUCAGAUAUCGUCCUAGUCUCAACCAUAAACGAUGCCGACCAGGGAUCGGUGGAUGUUGCUCUAAGGACUCCUCCAACACCUUCUAAGAAAUUAGAGUGUUUGGGUUCUAGGGGGAGUAUGGUCGUAAGGCUAAAACUUAAAGGAAUUGAUGGAAGGGCACCACCAGAAGUGGAGCUUGUGGCUUAAUUUGACUCAACACGGGGAAACACAUAGUAAGGAUUGAAAGAUUGAGAUCUCUUUCUUGAUUCUGUGGGUGGUGGUGCAUGGUUGUUCUUAGUUGGUGGAGUGAUUUGUCUAGUUAAUUCUGAUAACGAACGAGACCUUAUCCUGCUAAUUAGCUACGCGGAGGUUCCCCUUUGCAGCCAGCUUCUUAGAGGGACUAUGGCCAUUUAGGCCAUGGAAGUUUGAGGCAAUAAUAGGUCUAUGAUGCCCUUAUAUGUUCUGUGCUACACGCGCGCUACACUGAUGAAGCCAACGAGUUUUUCUUCCUAGUUCAAGAGGAUCGGGAAAUCUUCUCAAAUUGCAUCGUGAUGGGGAUAGACCAUUGCAAUUAUUGGUCUUCAACGAGGAAUUCCUAGUAAGUGCAUGUCAUUAACUCAUGUUGAUUAUGUCCCUACCCUUUGUAGACUCCCCCCAUCACUCCUACCGAUUGAAUGAUUCGAUGAAGUGUUUUGAUUGCAUAGAUGAUGGUGGUUUGCCACCAUCGACGUCAUGAGAAGUUCAUUGAACCUCAUCAUUUAGAGGAAAAAUAAGUCAUAACAAGGUUACCUUAGGUGAACCUGCAAUAG